rnacentral:rRNA from 1 species
CACGUAGGGGGCGAGCGUUGUCCGGAUUUAUUGGGCGUAAAGAGCUCGUAGGCGGUUCGACAAGUCGGGUGUGAAAACUCCGGGCUCAACCCGGAGACGCCACCCGAUACUGUCGUGACUGGAGUCCGGUAGGGGAGUGGGGAAUUCCUGGUGUAGCGGUGAAAUGCGCAGAUAUCAGGAAGAACACCCGUGGCUAAGGCGGCUCUCUAGUACGGUACUGACGCUGAGACGCGAAAGCGUGGGGAGCGAACAGG